rnacentral:rRNA from 1 species
CUGAACCAGCCAAGUAGCGUGAAGGAUGAAGGCUCUAUGGGUCGUAAACUUCUUUUAUAUAAGAAUAAAGUGCAGUAUGUAUACUGUUUUGUAUGUAUUAUAUGAAUAAGGAUCGACUAACUCCGUGCCAGCAGCCGCGGUAAUACGGAGGAUCCGAGCGUUAUCCGGAUUUAUUGGGUUUAAAGGGAGCGUAGGUGGAUUGUUAAGUCAGUUGUGAAAGUUUGCGG